GGCCCCUUAGUCAAACGGUCAAGACGUCGCCCUCUCACGGCGAAGAUAUGGGUUCGAUUCCCGUAGGGGUCA
rnacentral:tRNA from 1 species